AGUGAACGCUGGCGGUAGGCCUAACACAUGCAAGUCGAACGGCAGCACAGUAAGCGCUUGCUCUUACGGGUGGCGAGUGGCGGACGGGUGAGGAAUACAUCGGCAUCUACUUUUUCGUGGGGGAUAACGUAGGGAAACUUACGCUAAUACCGCAUACGACCUACGGGUGAAAGCAGGGGAUCUUCGCACCUUGCGCGAUUGAAUGAGCCGAUGUCGGAUUAGCUAGUUGGCGGGGUAAAGGCCCACCAAGGCGACGAUCCGUAGCUGGUCUGAGAGGAUGAUCAGCCACACUGGAACUGAGACACGGUCCAGACUCCUACGGGAGGCAGCAGUGGGGAAUAUUGGACAAUGGGCGCAAGCCUGAUCCAGCCAUGCCGCGUGGGUGAAGAAGGCCUUCGGGUUGUAAAGCCCUUUUGUUGGGAAAGAAAAUCAGCAGGUUAAUACCCCGCUGUUCUGACGGUACCCAAAGAGUAAGCACCGGCUAACUUCGUG
rnacentral:rRNA from 1 species